CCCUUAGAUGUUCUGGGCUGCACACGUGCUACACUGGCAGGUUCAGCGAGCUUCAUGCCCUGAUCUGAAAGGAAUGGGAAAUCUUUUCAAAACCUGCCGUGCUUGGGAUAGAUGUUUGCAAUUAUUCAUCUUCAACGAGGAUUGCCUUGUAAGCGCACGUCAUCAGCGUGCAUUGAAUACGACCUUGUAUUCUGUACACACCGCCCGUCGCUCCUACCGAUUGAAGUUUUCGGUGAGUUGACAGGAGGAUUUUUUUGAAACUGGUUCGCCAGUGGAUUUUAGAUCCAAAUGCCAACGAAUCGAUGGCUUUAGAGGAAGGAGAAGUCGUAACA
rnacentral:rRNA from 1 species